AAGUACCUUGCUCAAGAGUACAGCAACAGUGUCCCCAACCGGGGAUUGAACCCACGACCCUACAGUCAAGAGUCCAGAGCCCUAACCACUACUCCACACUGCUGCCCUAGCCACACAAGUGUUUAAAUAAACACUCCCUUUAGUUAAAAUGCCUGGCCAGGUAACUUCUUAAUUAUUGUAUCUAUUUAAUUAAGGAUUCCCCUUUAAGAAGGCUGAACUCCCAUGAGCCUUUGUUCUUUUUUAAACAGGUAGAGGGUGGAAGGGAGGCAGGUUUUGUGUUCUGGGUUCCUCCAUUUUGUGUAUGGUGGUGUGGUUUGUGUGCAGGUUCUGAAUGGGUUCCAGUUGGCUUUCAGGAUUUUAUUUACAAGAAAAUUAUAUUAAAUAAGAACUAUACCUACCUUGGAGCAUCUCUUGGACAACUUGUUGCUGUUGGACUGCCACUGGAACUACAGAAUAAGCAUCAACAAACAAACAAACAAACAGUCGGGUCUGUGAGGAUGAGAAGGUCUCCACAGUCUGGAGUCUGGUCUCUGACAGGCUCAACAUACCUGUCAAUCAACAGGGACUCCUCUACAAAGGCAAGGCGCUGGCAGGUAGGCUGAACAGCACAGCACAGCACAGCUCACCCCUCCUCUCACCCCUCGCCUCAUCCCUCCUCUCACUCCUCGCCUCACCCCGGGUCAGUGUGGCACAGCCUGCCUGCUCUUCUGAACAAACACUUCAGCCCUGCCGACGCAGUGAGAGUCUGGAGCAGCAACACAAGGUAACCUGAACACAAACACACACACACACACAGACACACACAAACACACACACAGUGAGAGGCUGGAGCAGCUACACAAGGUAAAUUGAACACAAUAAACACGGCUACACACACAAUCCUAGCUGCAGCAGAUGUACAAUGUUAUACAGACACACACAGACACAGCUGUACAGUGACACAGAGACGCACACACAAUCACAGCUGCAGCACACACACUCUGAAAUGCAGGUGUAGAGCAGCGUGUAGUUGUGACUCUGUGUCUCUCUCCUCCCCCUCUCCUCUCCUCUCCUUACUUUGUUUAAAAGAAUAGAAGCACACCCAGUGAGCAAGGCAUUGAGCAGCCCCACAUCCCGCUUCACAAUACCGCUACAUAUUGACUGACUGUUCGCAUUGUGUGUGUUUGGUAAGACAAACCACAUUUUCUACUUCUACUUUCUACGAUUGGGCAAGUCAGCGGUUGUUUGAUAACAGAACAUAAAACAUCACAGAGUGGGUUGAACUGCAUUGCUGGAAAUCAAGGCCCUUUAAAAUGUGUACCUUCCCAGCUCAGGUAUUGCUGAGGUAAAGAGACACUUCCUACAGGAGGACAGGACGUUGUCAAGGAGGGGAUGUCGUCACGUGUCCUGAGGGCUUUCUUAAAAACAUUGUUUUAUUAUUUCUAAGCGUACGUUGUUAUUGCCUUUUAGCUCUUGAGCAUAAUAAUCUCAAUCCCGUUUGAAAUGACACUAAGUGCAUUUGCAUGGUGGCAGAUGAGGGAUGUCGCUUCACUCGAGGCUUGCGUACUGAUGAAGAUGUAGUUUCAGUGUUUAAUGCUCAUCCCCUCACUGUGUGUCUGUGUGUGUUCUUGUCUCUCGCCUGUCCUGUGAGGAUGAAGAUGUAGUUUCAGUGUUUAAUGCUCAUCCCCUCACUGUGUGUCUGUGUGUUCUUGUCUCUUGACAGGUCUGUGAGGAUGAGAAGGUCUCCACAGUCUGGAGUCUGGUCUCUGACAGGCUCAACAUACCUGUCAAUCAACAGGGACUCCUCUACAAAGGCAAGGCGCUGGCAGGUAGGCUGAACAGCACAGCACAGCACAGCACAGCACAGCUCACCCCUCCUCUCACGCCUCGCCUCACCCCGGGUCAGUGUGGCACAGCCUGCCUGCUCUUCUGAACAAACACUUCAGCCCUGCCGACGCAGUGAGAGUCUGGAGCAGCAACACAAGGUGAUGAAGUGACACAUUGAAUAUGGGGCCUGAUGAGAGAAGUAUCCUUUUCAUGUGGUUUUGGUUUUGCCGUUGUGAGCAGGUAUGGGAGACAGCACCGUGUCUGCAUGUGAAAUAACAAAGUCAUCGCAGUGGAGGGACUCUCUGAAGGCUGCUGUUUGUGGAUUUGUCUUGUAAUAUUCCUGGAGUGUGUGGCUGUGUGCCUGAGUGACAUCCAGAACUUAAGAGAAGUCGUUUCAAUUCUGGUUCUUUCUUGAGGAGAGGUGCCUUGUAGUGGUCAAAGAAGUCCCCUGGGUCGACAUUGUCUACCUUUUAGGAUUUUGAAUGUUUGAAUCAGAUCGCCCUGUAGUCGUCUUUGUUCAAGACUGAAUAGAUUCAAUUCUUUUAGCCUGUCUGCAUAUGACAUGCCUUUUAAACCCGGGAUAAUUCUGGUUGCUCUUCUUUGCACUCUUUCUAGAGCAGCAAUAUCCUUUUUGUAACAAGGUGACCAGAACUGAACACAAUAUUCUAGGUGAGGUCUUACUAAUUCAUUGUAAAAUUUUAACAUUACUUCCCUUGAUUUACAUUCAACACUCCUCACAAUAUAUCCAAGCAUCUUGUUGGCAUUUUUUUUAUAGCUUCCCCACAUUGUCUAGAGGAAGACAUUUCUGAGUCAACAUAAACUCCUAGGUCUUUUUCAUAGUUCCCUUCUUCAAUUUCAGUAUCUCCCAUAUGAUAUUUGUAAUGCACGUUUUUAUUGCCUGCAUGCAAUACU